rnacentral:tRNA from 1 species
GCAGCUCAGUUGGUUAGAGUGAGGUGCUGAUAAUGCCAAGAUCAUGGGUUUGAUCCCCGUAUGGGCCA